GUGUGCUGUCCUUAACCGAUAAGGCCGGUGAUUUGCUCAAAUGGGGAAGAUGCAAACAACUCUCUCUCUCCUCCUCCAUCUCUCUCAUCUUCUUCCAGUGUUUAGUUCAACUACUACUUAAUCCUCUCAAACCCCAGUUUCCAUUUUUCUGUAUUGAAACCUCUCCCUCUACUUUUCAUCAAUUUCCCACAUUUUCUCUGGUUAUUUUCUUACCCGCCAAACACCUCCAUCAGCAACCCUAAUUCGCUUCCGCCUCCCAACCCAUCUCGAGUUCUCAGCUCACAAACAAAUAUGCAGCGUCUGCAGUCUGGAUUUGUGUGCGAAGUGUAACUCUUGCAUCUUGGGAGGAAUUUAGAUCUGAGAGCUUUGGAUGCCAAAAUCUCAAACUGCUUAUGAAUCUGCAGACAUAAUCACACUGCUCCAUUUCUGCUGUCUGUACGUUUGUUUAAGUUGCAACAAUCAGUGAUACCUUGACACCUGUCUCUACUAAAUCAAAACCCACAACACUGUUCAAGAGCUGAGAGACUGUGAAGGGUAAAACUGUGCAGGCUUUGGUUUGCUGCUUUUGAAAGCACACUGCAGGAACUGCAAAAAGCUUUCGAGAGAGAGAGAGAGAGAGAGAGAGUCUCUCGCCUGACUUUGACCGUGAUAUAUCAGCACCGUAAAAAAGGCCUUUUAGUACUACACAGCCAAAGUACCCUCUCUGAAUUAUCGUCAUCAAUGCAUAGUACACUGCAACCCCACCUCCUCCUCCUCCAGUCCUCCCCCUCUUUCUCUCUCUAAAACCACUCCCUCCGUCCCCCAAAUUCAACCCCUUUCUUUCUCUA